GACAAUCAAUUUAAUGUUGGACACAUAUGAGAAGAAUGAUAUUGUUUUAAAGGAGAUGGAGGGGCGAUUAAUGUUCCUCUAGGCUUAAGAUGUUGGGUUAUAGUGCAAGUCUCAUGACAAAUAAUGAUAGAUUGUAAAGCCAGUAAGAUGUAAAUUACGAUGGCCAAGAAAACAGUCUCAAAAUGUAAAUUUAGCGCUGUUGCCCUUAAAUAAAGGUACGUAUUCUAAGGUCUGUAUUGGGAACAACCCAAACGAAUCUUCAAAACGUUGACGAGGAGGCAUAGCAUCGAUCUAAACAAUUGGGAUACGAUGACAUCAACCAAGUCAGCGAGCCAGAUCACCCCACCCCGUUGGUCGCCUCUUACGACAAGUAUGGGUUGCUGAAGACCUAUAUUCUAACACGGAAUCUUCAAGGGUCGGAUUCCAUGUUUGUGAAGAGUAUAGCUGGUUUGGGUGUGCCAUGCAACCUUGAUUUAACGUGAAUUAUAUACUGUUUAACAUUGUAAAAUAAUGUCUUUUUCAAUUCAAAUGGCGUGGUAAACGGAGGUUGCUCUCUGGCGUGCAAACUAAACGGAGGGGUGGGCUUGUUGUGCAAUCAAGGGAGGAAAUUACCUCCAACAUGACCAUAUAUGAAGCCUCUGUAUGAGACUUCGCAAUGUUUUCGUUUCAGUUUUCCAAAUUGAUAGACAAGAUUUAAAUGCAAAUAAACAUUAUAUACGCACCACUUUCAAAGUGUUGAAUCCGAUAUUUGCAUUGACGACGUUACGAUAUACCAAAUCUGGAAAGUUGUUUAUACCAUACGAUUUGCACUUAACGGCUCUGAAGAUCUCCACCUCUUACAAGUAAUUAAAAACCCAUGUCAUUACAGAAUGAUUCAUGCUGUAGACUGGAAUCCAACCUUGGUGCCAGCAGCUGGUGGCACUCCUGAGGCGUCAAUCGAUGGUACAACCCACUGGGAAUCUAUCAGGAAUGGCCUUCCGUCGUCAAGAACCGAGUUCAUAUACAAUAUUGACGACUUUGAACCUGCAUUGGAAGGACAUGCUGCAAUAAGGGUUGGUGACUACAAGCUGAUACUGGGCUACCCAGGGGAACUGAUGGCUGGCACAAGCCUAGGAACACUACACGGGGGAUAAAUAUGAGACCACCAUAUAUUAUAAGGGCGAUAGCCCAGUGCAGCUGUACAACAUACGCGGAGGAUCCCACUGAGCAUAACGACCUGGCAGCACAGAUGCCGGACAUUGUUGACAAACUGAGAGCCCGGAUUGAUGAGUACCGGAAGCAGAUGGUCCCCGCCCUUUUCCCUGAUGGUGAUCCUGCAUCUAACCCUAAAAACUUUGGGAACGCCUGGAGCCCGGGAUGGUGUUGAUCUUCGAUUUAUUUUUAUCAAUUAAACUUUAACAAUGUUGGUUGAAUAGUUUGUAACAAUAUGUGGAUUGAAGUUCAUUUGGCUGAAAUAGUAUGUAACAAUGCUGAAAGUAACAGGUUACAGAUAGAACCCUUUUGAACA